ACGGUACCAUACAUGUGCAAGAGAAGGUGACGUUUUUUAUUUUCCUAGUCGAGUAAAAAGUCAUGGUUAUUUCCAUAUUUACAGAUCUACACUGGUAAGCGUAUUGCAAAGAUCACAUAUUUGAAACACUGUUAACAAAUCUGAUGGCUGGACCUCUACAAGGAAAUUACUCAAUAGUUGUAUCUGGGGGAAACGUCAAUGUUGGUUACCGGUCGCGAAUGACUUGUUACUCCGGGCAGCCGAGAGACUAUUCUACGGCGUCAGUAAGGACAACUACAGCAAGAAUCACUGGUUCCGGUAAGAAUUACUGUCUUGAUAAACCGUUUUCCUCUUUACCCUUAACUCUUUAC